GAAAUUCCAUAAUAGAAAUGAUAAUGCCUGCUGGGAAAUCCAUUAGUAAUUAUAAGCAUCCAAAGGGAAAUUGCAUUAAAAAGGAUUACCUGCAUCUGCAAGAUAGCAGAAUUUCAAAUAUAGCACAGCAGAAAAGAAAAAAUGCACAUACAUUCAGAUGGCCUCAAACCUGCUGACCUUUUGGAAGGUCUUAAAACCUGGAUCCUCCCUCAGGCUUUAGGGCCAGGAGAUUAGUGGAGUCCAGUUUAUGUUUUUGCCCAGUGCUGAUUGAGGAGUUGAAUAUUUUUAGCUUUUAUUGUUCUUUCAUAUGUCUGUUUUGUUUUUAUGUCUUGUUAACUGCCCUGAGUUAUUUGAUUAAGUUGAACAGCCAUGUAAGUUUGCAGAACAAAUAAAUAAAAUGAGGGGCCUGCCUUGCUGGAGAACUCUCUUAUGCUGAGAAAAGCGGAAGAAAAGAGACAAGGAGGAUGGCCAGCAACAAGUUGGAGGGACUCAGUUAUCGUGGUGAUGGGGAACUCUGGGAUGACAAGGAAGGAAGGCCACCGAGCAGCCAACUACCCUGCCCUGCAUCUAGCCUUUGCUUCAUGAGCCCUGGUACAGCCAAAGGCAAAGAAGCCACCAGCAAAGCUGAUGGAGUAGACACGGAUUGCACAGCAGGUCUUAGAUGUCUCUCCCCAAUCCAGUGAAGGGAGGGAACUCUGAUCUCCUCCAACCUCCAACAAGCCUGGCUUCUAUGCAAGCCACAGCGAGGAGGAAAAUGACCUGAUGCAGGUGAUCUCCGUUGUGAGGGCAUGCAGAGGAACAAAGUGCAAAUCCAUAGAGAUUCACUGAAGCCUCCUAUUUCAGAAGAAAAUACAAGAAUCAGAAUAAAAGGCCCUGUCAAGGUUCCGACUAAUGAAUCCAAGCAAAUCGGGACUCUGAGACUAUAAUCUUCCUCAAAGAACUUCUUUAUUGAGGAUAUCAUUUCGGCAUGAUUAAAUGCAAAAAAACUCUAAAUAUUCCUCACAGUUUCAGUACAAUUAAAAUAGGAAAUAACUCCCUCCCUAAGUGUCAUGGGUCACAUUGGCCAAUUAGAUUAAUUGGAGGGCUCUUCAGGCACUCUUCCCUGUCUUCAUCCAUCAUCUGCAGAGAUGACCUUGGUUCUCACGAGAAAAUUAUGUGUUGUGUCUAGUAAGGCAUUCCAACCUCCUCCCUCCUCCCACACUAUCUGGCAAUGAGGAACAAGAAAAUGGCUUCUUCCAGGUUCAGUUAAAAGUUGCAGGCUCUAUGUUGGAACUCUGUUUUCUAGUCAUACCUUUCAAAACCCAAGAAAGAAACCCCCCGACUCCAUUGAAGUAGAGAAGAGGUACUUUUACUGAGUCUGAAAUGAUAGUGGCAAAAGAAAAGCAAGAUCUGAGCCAAAUGGCACAAAAGUUACAUAUUGAAAGUUUCCCAAAAUCCCUCCCCCCAGGGACCCAGGCUGAAUGUCCAAUACAUGUCCUGCAUAGUGUUAUGGUGAAUACAUCUUCAUAUGCUUUUGUCCAUUUGGAGUUCUAGGACGAUUGGCCUUGACUGGGUGUAAACAACUCCAUUCAGCAGCACAGAAAUCCUUAAGCGCAAACCUCCCUUUUAGUUCACAUGGACCUUCAUCACACCAGCUUACUUCCCAAACCCCAAUGCCAUGCGCCCCCCCCCCCCCGUUACUAUUGCAGCCAAUAGCACGCAUGCAUAAAAGGGAAAACCCAUGCUGGAGAUCUGGCUGACAACCACUGUUUUUUGUAAAUAUUUAGUGGCCCAUUAAGUAGUUUUUACAUGUUUAUAUUCUGAUACUUAAGAUGUUUUCACACAUUUGCUUUAAAGAGUUUGAUGACUUGGUUUAUAAAGUAAAUGAAAAUUGUACAUCAACCAGAAAAUACAUUUAUUGCAAACAUCGUUUUCAUGUUUUCCUUCCCACAUUAAUAACAAUCAUUAAUUUCAAGGAGAAAUUGAACUGUGAUUUUCAUCUUAUGCAUAAAAAUGCAUAAGAUGGCUCAGGCCAUCUGGUAGAUUCAUAACCCAUUUAAAGUGCCAAUCAUUGAUGAAAGAUUAACUUCAGUAUUACAGGGUUUAUGCCAGAUUGCUAGAGAUGACUAUCAUUAUAGUUUUGCUUUAAUUUUCAAGGCUAAGGUUGCUGUAAAUAGAA